UACGUAGGGGGCUAGCGUUGUCCGGAAUCAUUGGGCGUAAAGAGCGUGUAGGCGGUCCGGUAAGUCCGCUGUGAAAGUCGGGGGCUCAACCCUCGAAUGCCGGUGGAUACUGUCGGGCUAGAGUGCGGAAGAGGCGAGUGGAAUUCCUGGUGUAGCGGUGAAAUGCGCAGAGUAUCUGGAGGAACACCUAUGGCGAAGGCAGCUCGCUGGGACGUUACUGACGCUGAGGAACGAAAGCGUGGGGAGCGAACAGG
rnacentral:rRNA from 1 species